GGAGGAAAGUAGGGGAUCGCAAGACCUUGCGCUCUUGGAGCGGCCGAUGUCUGAUUAGCUAGUUGGUGAGGUAAUGGCUUACCAAGGCGACGAUCAGUAGCUGGUCUGAGAGGACGACCAGCCACACUGGGACUGAGACACGGCCCAGACUCCUACGGGAGGCAGCAGUGGGGAAUUUUGGACAAUGGGGGAAACCCUGAUCCAGCCAUGCCGCGUGAGUGAAGAAGGCCUUCGGGUUGUAAAGCUCUUUCAGCCGGAACGAAACGGUCACGGCUAAUAUCCGUGACUACUGACGGUACCGGAAGAAGAAGCACCGGCUAACUACGUGCCAGCAGCCGCGGUAAUACGUAGGGUGCGAGCGUUAAUCGGAAUUACUGGGCGUAAAGCGUGCGCAGGCGGUUUUGUAAGUCAGAUGUGAAAGCCCCGGGCUUAACCUGGGAACUGCGUUUGAAACUACAAGGCUAG
rnacentral:rRNA from 1 species